rnacentral:sRNA from 1 species
CCAGGUGCAGCUGCGGGCCCUCGAGCACGUGGAUGGGACUCAUGUGUGCCAGCUGCCGGAGGACCAGAAGGGCAACAUCCAUCUGAAACCUUCCUUCUCCGAUGGCCUCAAGAUGGACGUGGGCAUCAUCUGUGACGUGUGCACCUGCGAGCUGCGAAAAGAGGUGCGGUCAGCUCGCUGCAGCUUCAACGGAGACUUCAUGUGUGGACACUGUGUGUGCAGUGAGGGCUGGAGUGGCCAGACCUGCAACUGCUCCACCGGCUCUCUGAGUGACAUUCAGCCCUGCCUGCGGGAGGACGAGGACAAGCCGUGCUCCGGCCGUGGCGAGUGCCAGUGCGGGCACUGUGUGUGCUACGGCGAAGGCCGCUAUGAGGGUCAGUUCUGCGAGUAUGACAACUUCCAGUGUCCCCGCACUUCCGGGUUCCUCUGCAAUGACCGAGGACGCUGCUCCAUGGGCCAGUGUGUGUGUGAGCCUGGUUGGACAGGCCCAAGCUGUGACUGUCCCCUCAGCAAUGCCACCUGCAUCGACAGCAAUGGGGGCAUCUGCAAUGGACGUGGCCACUGUGAGUGUGGCCGCUGCCACUGCCACCAGCAGUCGCUCUACACGGACACCAUCUGCGAGAUCAACUACUCGGCGAUCCACCCGGGCCUCUGCGAGGACCUACGCUCCUGCGUGCAGUGCCAGGCGUGGGGCACCGGGGAGAAGAAGGGGCGCACGUGUGAGGAAUGCAACUUCAAGGUCAAGAUGGUGGACGAGCUUAAGAGAGCCGAGGAGGUGGUGGUGCGCUGCUCCUUCCGGGACGAGGAUGACGACUGCACCUACAGCUACACCAUGGAAGGCGACGGCGCCCCUGGGCCCAACAGCACUGUCCUGGUGCACAAGAAGAAGGGCCUGCCUGGCACUUCUCCCUUGCUGCAACCGAGGUCACAUGGUAGGCUUUAAGGAAGAC